UCCGGUUGAUCCUGCCGGACCCGACUGCUAUCAGAGUGGGACUAAGCCAUGCGAGUCAACAUAGCAAUAUGUGGCAUACGGCUCAGUAACACGUAGUCAACAUGCCCAGGGGACGUGGAUAACCUCGGGAAACUGAGGAUAAACCGCGAUAAGUCACUGCUUCUGGAAUGGGCAAUGACUUAAAUCUAUAUGGCCCCUGGAUUGGACUGCGGCCGAUCAGGCUGUUGGUGAGGUAAUGGCCCACCAAACCUGUAACCGGUACGGGCUCUGAGAGGAGGAGCCCGGAGAUGGGCACUGAGACAAGGGCCCAGGCCCUAUGGGGCGCAGCAGGCGCGAAACCUCUGCAAUAGGCGAAAGCCUGACAGGGUUACUCUGAGUGAUUUCCGUUAAGGAGAUCUUUUGGCACCUCUAAAAAUGGUGCAGAAUAAGGGGUGGGCAAGUCUGGUGUCAGCCGCCGCGGUAAUACCAGCACCCCGAGUGGUCGGGACGUUUAUUGGGCCUAAAGCAUCCGUAGCCGGUUCUGCAAGUCUUCCGUUAAAUCCACCUGCUUAACAGAUGGGCUGCGGAAGAUACUAUAGAGCUAGGAGGCGGGAGAGGCAAGCGGUACUCGAUGGGUAGGGGUAAAAUCCGUUGAUCCAUUGAAGACCACCAGUGGCGAAGGCGGCUUGCCAGAACGCGCUCGACGGUGAGGGAUGAAAGCUGGGGGAGCAAACCGGAUUAGAUACCCGGGUAGUCCCAGCUGUAAACGAUGCAGACUCGGUGAUGAAUUGGCUUUAUGCCAAUUCAGUGCCGCAGGGAAGCCGUUAAGUUUGCCGCCUGGGGAGUACGGUCGCAAGACUGAAACUUAAAGGAAUUGGCGGGGGAGCACCACAAGGGGUGAAGCCUGCGGUUCAAUUGGAGCAACGCCGGAAAUCUUACCGGGGGCGACAGCAGAAUGAAGGUCAAGCUGAAGACUUUACCAGACAAGCUGAGAGGAGGUGCAUGGCCGUCGCCAGCUCGUGCCGUGAGGUGUCCUGUUAAGUCAGGUAACGAGCGAGACCCCUGCCUCUAGUUGCUACCAUUAUUCUCAGGAGUAGUGGAGCUAAUUAGAGGGACUGCCGUCGCUGAGACGGAGGAAGGAGGGGGCUACGGCAGGUCAGUAUGCCCCGAAACCCUCGGGCCACACGCGGGCUGCAAUGGUAAGGACAAUGAGUAUCGAUUCCGAAAGGAGGAGGCAAUCUCUAAACCUUACCACAGUUAUGAUUGAGGGCUGAAACUCGCCCUCAUGAAUAUGGAAUCCCUAGUAACCGCGUGUCACUAUCGCGCGGUGAAUACGUCCCUGCUCCUUGCACACACCGCCCGUCGCUUCAUCGAAGUUGGUUCUUGGCGAGGUGAUGCCUAAUUGGUACUAUCGAACCUGGGGUCAGCAACGAGGGAGA
rnacentral:rRNA from 1 species